AUUGAACGCUGGCGGCAGGCCUAACACAUGCAAGUCGAACGAGUGGCGGACGGGUGAGUAAUGUCUGGGAAACUGCCCGAUGGAGGGGGAUAACUACUGGAAACGGUAGCUAAUACCGCAUACCAUCGGAUGUGCCCAGAUGGGAUUAGCUAGUAGGUGGGGUAACGGCUCACCUAGGCGACGAUCCCUAGCGGGUCUGAGAGGAUGACCAGCCACACUGGAACUGAGAGACGGUCCAGACUCCUACGGGAGGCAGCAGGGGGGAAUAGUACAGAAUGGGCGCAAGCCGGAUGCAGCCAUGCCGCGUGGAUGAAGAAGUCCUGCGGGUUGGAAAGUACUGUAAGCGAGGAUGCGUUACUCGCAGAAGAAGCACCGGCUAACUCUGUGCCAGCAGCCGCGGUAAUUC
rnacentral:rRNA from 1 species